GAUGAACGCUGGCGGCGUGCCUAAUACAUGCAAGUCGAGCGAACGGACGAGAAGCUUGCUUCUCUGCUGUUAGCGGCGGACGGGUGAGUAACACGUGGAUAACCUACCUAUAAGACUGGGAUAACUUCGGGAAACCGUAGCUAAUACCGGAUAAUAUUUUGAACCGCAUAGUUCAAAAGUGAAAGACGGUCUUGCUGUCACUUAUAGCUGGAUCCGCGCUGCAUUAGCUAGUUGGUAAGGUAACGGCUUACCAAGGCAACGAUGCAUAGCCGACCUGAGAGGGUGAUCAGCCACACUGGAACUGAGACACGGUCCAGACUCCUACGGGAGGCAGCAGUAGGGAAUAUUCCGCAAUGGGCGAAAGCCUGACGGAGCAACGCCGCGUGAGUGAUGAAGGUCUUCGGAUCGUAAAACUCUGUUAUUAGGGAAGAACAGAUGUGUAAGUAACUGUGCACAUCUUGACGGUACCUAAUCAGAAAGCCACGGCUAACUACGUG
rnacentral:rRNA from 1 species